GCAUAUCAAUAAGCGAGGAAAGAAACCAACAGGGAUUGCCUCAGUAACGGCGAGUGAAGCGGCAACAGCUCAAAWUUGAAAUCUGGCCCCAGGCCCGAGUUGUAAUUUGCAGAGGAUGCUUUUGGCGCGGUGCCUUCCGAGUUCCCUGGAACGGGACGCCAUAGAGGGUGAGAGCCCCGUACGGUUGGACACCAAGCCUUUGUAAAGCUCCUUCGACGAGUCGAGUAGUUUGGGAAUGCUGCUCUAAAUGGGAGGUAUAUUUCUUCUAAAGCUAAAUAUAGGCCAGAGACCGAUAGCGCACAAGUAGAGUGAUYGAAAGAUGAAAAGCMCUUUGAAAAGAGGGUUAAACAGCACGUGAAAUUGUUAAAAGGGAAGCGCUUGUGACCAGACUUGCGUCCGGUGAAUCMCCCAGCUCUYGYGGCUGGGGCACUUUGCCGGCWCAGGCCAGCAUCAGCUYGCUGUCGGGGACAAAAGCUUYGGGAACGUAGCUYUCUUCGGGGAGUGUUAUAGCCCGUUGCAUAAUACCCUUCGGUGGGCUGAGGUACGCGCUCCGCAAGGAUGCUGGCGUAAUGGUCAUCAGCGACCCGUCUUGAAACACGGACCAAGGAGUCAWCYUUAUGUGCGAGUGUUUGGGUGUYAAACCCCUACGCGUAAUGAAAGUGAACGCAGGUGAGAGCUUCGGCGCAUCAUCGACCGAUCCUGAUGUUCUCGGAUGGAUUUGAGUAAGAGCAUAUAGGGYUGGACCCGAAAGAAGGUGAACUAUGCGUGUAUAGGGUGAAGCCAGAGGAAACUCUGGUGGAGGCUCGCAGCGGUUCUGACGUGCAAAUCGAUCGUCAAAUAUGCGCAUGGGGGCGAAAGACUAAUCGAACCUUCUAGUAGCUGGUUUCCGCCGA
rnacentral:rRNA from 1 species